rfam:Camponotus floridanus CamFlo_1.0_1.contig3411, whole genome shotgun sequence.
AUCGCUUCUCGGCUCUCUGAGCUAAGAUCAAAGUGUAGUAUCUGUUCUUAUCAGCUUAAUAUCUGAUACAAUCCCCAUAGGGGAUUCAGAAUAUUAAACUGAUUUUUGGGACCGGGCGGGUGACCGGAGCUUGCUCCGACUCUGCCGCGGGUCGACCUGGCAUUGCAGUGCCGCCAGGAACGGCCCAAUAAUA